UAGGGAAUCUUCGGCAAUGGACGAAAGUCUGACCGAGCAACGCCGCGUGAGUGAAGAAGGUUUUCGGAUCGUAAAACUCUGUUGUUAGAGAAGAACGACGAGGAGAGUGGAAAGCUCCUCGUGUAGACGGUAUCUAACCAGAAAGGGACGGCUAACUACGUGCCAC
rnacentral:rRNA from 1 species